rnacentral:rRNA from 1 species
UCUUACCUGCCGGUGCCGGGGAGGUCGCAGGGCAAGCUUUUGUUGGCAGGCUCGACACAUACGUAGGGGUUUUAUAGAUGAAAAUAGCCGGGUGUCUAGGUGUUCCUUUGGUUUUGAGGGGUGUUUAAACUAGACUAGUAAAGUUUUAGGGUGUGGGGAGAAGGUUUUAGCGCAGCAGUGUGGUUCUUCGAGAGCCUUAAAGCUAGAGAGGAGGGUAAAAAGGACAGUAGCCCGCGCGUCUAAAACUGGUCAAUAGUCGACAAGAAGAGGUCAGGGAGCUUCGCGUCUUAAAACAAGGAAAAACGCCGACAAAACUAGGCCGUCAAGAACGCUUAGUGAGAGAGGCGCCGACUGCGGGAAAAAGGCCCAAAACGAUAACGACCCCCGCAUUUUAGGGAGUUCGACCGCUUAAGCCGCACAGGUACCUGGUCGGGCUCUCGAGAGAGGGGGUACGGCGCCAGGUCUUCCCCGUCUGGGGUGCGGCGCUCCUCGAGCACGCCGAGUAGCGCGUUAGCGAGAUGAGGGAGCCAAUGGCCUUCCGCCGUCGGUGCGAACUCCGCCUCAGGCCACACGGCGACAUGGGGGGCCUCGUGCUGGCGGAGGACGAGCUGCAUUACAGACCGGCCACCCUGCGCACGCGCCGGUGGUAACUGAGAGAAUGGCCGUAAUGGCUUUCCUUGGCACGCCAACGGCUCAAAAACCACACCUCUCCCGUGAAGGACCUCGACGACCCGUGACCCCUGCGACCAGAUGCGGAACGUUAACUCCACGAGAGCGCAGCCUAGCGGGGAGAACGGUAGCUGUCUUCUACACACGUGACCGACCGUGCGCGUCACCAGUGCAGACUCCCGCGCCAACGUGGUCUCCGACAACGACUUACGUCCUAACCCGAAAAGAACCUAAACCAACUCCGCAACGGCGGUACCAAGGCCCACGGUUCACCCGCCGAACUCGUAAACCACCUCUGGCGCCAAUAAGUCGUCCAACGAAGCACAUAUAUGGUAUUAGACGGCCUACUCCAGUGAGAUAAACUCCUAGUGUUCACGGUACUUCUCGUCUAGGGAAGACUGACAUGUGUCUAUAACACACGAGUAUUUUUGCUUCAAACCAAACAUUCCAAGAGUUUACUACCCUUGAUGGACCGUAGUAGAAGUUCACUAACAUGACGGUAGUAUACCUUCCACCUUCUUCUACUAUGUAAUUGGUUCUUCAUGACGGAGCUCCCAGUGUUUUCAGGAUAAAGAAAACAACGCACCUCGGGUUUACUAUCUUACGAAGAGUGAACACCAUUACCCCUUAGAAAUUUUGACACCUUACAACUAUGACCACUUACGUUAGAAUUUAAACCACGACGUCAUUUUGUGUAGUAGCGCAGUACACGUACCAAAGGUUUAAGUCUCUUUUAUCAUACACGGUCGAGACUUGGACUUUCAAGAGGUUUAUACUAAAAGUGAACACUGGAUCUUCCGGUUCUUGACCUUUACACCCGACCUCUCUCUUAUGGGUUUCAAUCACUAGAACGACACUGUGGACUACCGUUUGUAGAUUAGACACAUACAGGGUUGCUUUAAACCUAGGCUCUUGAAGCCUUCCCCGCCCUUACCUUUUAAGGACUUGCCGUCUGUUAAAGUAGAGAAAGAGAAAGUCCACUACCUGUCAGUUACUAACAGUUGGAAUUAUCAGUCCUUUAAGUAAACACCUUUUGGUUACCUUCAAGAUCUCACGGGCUAUUUAAGUUCCCCGUGUUCGUUCCUUUCAAACACUAAUCUAGUACGAAACCCCCUAGUCUGAUAGUAAAGUAACGAUCGCCGUCACUCCUAAGUGUCCACAUGUAAACCGUUUCUACGUACCUCUACGGCUAUUUCCAGGAUAUACCCGUGAGUUACUGACAUUUAACACAUUCGACCUUGGGACGCUCCGGGGUCUACAACCGAAGGCGUUCGCUACUGGCAUGUCAAGCGUAUACCGAUCGCGCGUUUCGAGUGUCAAACUGAACUUUUCAAAACAUACAAAAGGGACAUUUAUCAACAUGUAAAACUGACAUACGUGUUUGAUCAACCCCUAGGAAAAGGGAGCAUUUCUCGAAAAUCGAUGAACUCUCUCCAUUUGAAAUUCGUCGGUCUCUAUCGUCCUAUGCCCAUUCAAAAAAAAAAACUUGCCUGGUCGACUACCGACCGUAUAUAACUAUAGUUUUCGUCCCUCGUCCGCCUUUUUUGUGUUCCACCACAAGCUAGACCGCUAGUUCCUCAUUUUUCUCUUCUAUUUUCUCUCAUCUGUUUUUUAGAUCGGCCCCGAUCUUUUUGUCGUCCAACCAGAGAGUACCUCCUAGGGUCUUUCCCACGAGCUCCACCCAACGAGGACGAACCGCGGUGUUGAGUUUCCAGGAACACUACGAACGGUAACAAAGCCAGUCCGAACGUUAGAAAACGGCCUUUCACGUAAGCAAAGAGGUGACGGUUUACAGUGGUUCGUGGUCUUACUAGUAACAGAACUGAGGAAAGAACACAAGUCGAGAACGAGGUAGCUAGUAGAGCCACUACUAAAGGUGGCGAAACGAGAAGACGACGGUCAAGCUCCCCACGUACCUCGACGUAGGGAACCCGUCAAGAACGGGUCUGACGGCUACUUUUACCCGUGACGGUCUUUUCCACAACGCUCCAGAGCUCCAAAGACUCUGUUUCAACUGUCUUCAUGAGUAAACCGGUCGGAGCAGAGACUUCUGCCAGUAACGUGGUAUUAGACAAAAACUCGUCGUCGGUCUGGCAUUUAAACUCGGCCCGGCCACGGGUCUGAACCGUCUCGUCUAAAGACUUCAAUCAGAACUCGU